CGGAGGCAGCAGUGAGGAAUAUUGGACAAUGGGCGCAAGCCUGAUCCAGCCAUGCCGCGUGUGUGAAGAAGGCCUUCGGGUUGUAAAGCACUUUUGUCCGGAAAGAAAAGCUCUGGGUUAAUACCCUGGGGUCCUGACGGUACCGGAAGAAUAAGCACCGGCUAACUUCGUGCCAGCAGCCGCGGUAAUACGAAGGGUGCAAGCGUUACUCGGAAUUACUGGGCGUAAAGCGUGCGUAGGUGGUGAGUUAAGUCUGUCAUGAAAGCCCCGGGCUCAACCUGGGAAUGGCGAUGGAUACUGGCUCGCUAGAGUGCGGUAGAGGAGAGUGGAAUUCCCGGUGUAGCAGUGAAAUGCGUAGAGAUCGGGAGGAACAUCAGUUGCGAAGGCGGCUCUCUGGACCAGCACUGACACUGAGGCACGAAAGCGUGGGGAGCAAACAGGAUUAGAUACCCUCGUAC
rnacentral:rRNA from 1 species